UACGGGGGGAGCAAGCGUUGUUCGGAUUUACUGGGCGUAAAGGGCGCGUAGGCGGUCGUGACAAGUCACUUGUGAAAUCUCCGGGCUUAACUCGGAACGGUCAAGUGAUACUGUCGGACUAGAGUACAGAAGGGGCAACUGGAAUUCUCGGUGUAGCGGUGAAAUGCGUAGAUAUCGAGAGGAACAUCGGUGGCGAAGGCGGCAUCCUGGACCGAUAUUGACGCUGAGGCGCGAAAGCCAGGGGAGCAAACGGG
rnacentral:rRNA from 1 species